ACAUUAUUGUUACUGUUUUUAUCUGUAAUCUUUUCUCUUCCUUUAUCCUAGCAAUGAUUGAGAGAAUCUAAGUUGAAACAGAUAAUUAAGAAAUAUGCCUAAUGAAAUGGAUGCAGUGAUGUUCUCUAUUUCUCUCUGGCCUCCAGAAAUGUGUCCUGAGAAUGGAUCUUGUGUACCUGAUGGUCCAGGUCUUUUGCAGUGUGUUUGUGCUGAUGGUUUCCAUGGAUACAAGUGUAUGCGCCAGGGCUCGUUCUCACUGCUUAUGUUCUUCGGGAUUCUGGGAUCCACCACUCUAUCCGUCUCCAUUCUGCUUUGGGGGACCCAGCGCCGAAAAGCCAAGACUUCAUGAACUACAUAGGUCUUACCAUUGACCUAAGAUCAAUCUGAACUAUCUUAGCCCAGCCAGGGAGCUCUGCUUCCUAGAAAGGCAUCUUUGGCCAGUGGAUUCGCCUCAAGGUUGAGGCCGCCAUUGGAAGAUGAAAAAUUGCACUCCCCGGUGUAGACAAAUACCAGUUCCCAUUGGUGUUGUUGCCUAUAAUAAACACUUUUUUCUUUUU
rnacentral:sRNA from 1 species